rnacentral:rRNA from 1 species
UACGUAGGCAGCAAGCGUUGUUCAGAGUUACUGGGCGUAAAGAGUGCGUAGGUGGUGCCCUAAGUCUGUUGUGAAAUCUCCCGGCUUAACUGGGAGGGUGCGGUGGAAACUGGGGUGCUUGAGUGUGGGAGAGGGAAGUGGAAUUCCCGGUGUAGUGGUGAAAUGCGUAGAUAUCGGGAGGAAUACCGAUGGCGAAGGCAGGUCUCUGGACUGACACUGACGCUCAUGCACGAAAGCGUGGGGAGCAAACAGG